UACGUAGGUGGCGAGCGUUAUCCGGAAUUAUUGGGCGUAAAGAGCGGGCAGGUGGUUGAUUAAGUCUGAUGUGAAAGCCCACGGCUUAACAGUGGAGGGUCAUUGGAAACUGGUCGACUUGAGUGCAGAAGAGGGAAGUGGAAUUCCAUGUGUAGCGGUGAAAUGCGUAGAGAUAUGGAGGAACACCAGUGGCGAAGGCGGCUUCCUGGUCUGUAACUGACACUGAGGCGCGAAAGCGUGGGGAGCAAACAGGAUUAGAUACCCGGGUA
rnacentral:rRNA from 1 species